CGAACGAUGAUGCCAGCUUGCUGGUGGAUUAGUGGCGAACGGGUGAGUAACACGUGAGUAACCUGCCCUUGACUCUGGGAUAAGCCUGGGAAACUGGGUCUAAUACCGGAUAUGACCUUCCAUCGCAUGGUGGUUGGUGGAAAGCUUUUGUGGUUUUGGAUGGACUCGCGGCCUAUCAGCUUGUUGGUGGGGUAAUGGCCUACCAAGGCGACGACGGGUAGCCGGCCUGAGAGGGUGACCGGCCACACUGGGACUGAGACACGGCCCAGACUCCUACGGGAGGCAGCAGUGGGGAAUAUUGCACAAUGGGCGCAAGCCUGAUGCAGCGACGCCGCGUGAGGGAUGACGGCCUUCGGGUUGUAAACCUCUUUCAGUAGGGAAGAAGCGAAAGUGACGGUACCUGCAGAAGAAGCGCCGGCUAACUACGUGCCAGCAGCCGCGGUAAUACGUAGGGCGCAAGCGUUAUCCGGAAUUAUUGGGCGUAAAGAGCUCGUAGGCGGUUUGUCGCGUCUGCCGUGAAAGUCCGGGGCUCAACUCCGGAUCUGCGGUGGGUACGGGCAGACUAGAGUGAUGUAGGGGAGACUGGAAUUCCUGGUGUAGCGGUGAAAUGCGCAGAUAUCAGGAGGAACACCG
rnacentral:rRNA from 1 species